rnacentral:sRNA from 1 species
GCUGGGUGUCGUGAAGCAUGCCUGUUGUCCCAGCUUCUGGGGAGGCUAAGGCAGAAAGAUCCCUUGAGCCCAGGUAUUCAGGGCCAGCCGGGGUAAUAUGCUGAGACUCCUUCUUUU